rnacentral:tRNA from 1 species
GGCCCUAUAGCUCAGUUGGUUAGAGCACCCGACUCAUAAUCGGUAGGUCCCCUGUUCGAGUCAGGGUGGGGCCACCA